rnacentral:rRNA from 1 species
UACGUAGGGUGCGAGCGUUAAUCGGAAUUACUGGGCGUAAAGCGUGCGCAGGCGGUUUUGUAAGCCAGAUGUGAAAGCCCCGGGCUUAACCCUGGGAAUGGCAUUUGGGACUGCAAGGCUGGAGUGUGGCAGAGGAGACUGGAAUUCCUGGUGUAGCAGUGAAAUGCGUAGAUAUCAGGAGGAAUACCGAUGGCGAAGGCAGGUCUCUGGGCUGUAACUGACGCUGAGGAGCGAAAGCAUGGGGAGCGAACAGG